rnacentral:sRNA from 1 species
GUCAGGCAUGGUGGCUCAUGCCUGUAAUCCUAGCACUUUGGGAGGCUGAGGCAGGAGGAUCACUUGAGCCCAGGAGUUUUGGGCUGCAGUGAGCUAUGAUCGUGCCACUGCACUCCAGCCUGAGCAACAGAGAAAGACUCUGUCUCUGAAAAAAUAAAAAUUGACCGGGUGAGGUGGCUCACGCCUGUAAUCCCAGCACUUUGGGAGGCCGAGGUGGGCAGAUCACCUGAGGUGAGGAGUUCAAGACCAGCCUGGCCAACAUGGUGAAACCUCGUCUGU